UAGGGAAUUUUCGGCAAUGGGGGAAACCCUGACCGAGCAACGCCGCGUGAGUGAAGAAGGUUUUCGGAUUGUAAAACUCUGUUGUAAGGAAAGAACGGAUAGGAGAGAAUCUUAUCGUGACGGUACCUUACCAGAAAGCCACGGCUAACUACGUGCCAGCAGCCGCGGUAAUACGUAGGUGGCGAGCGUUAUCCGGAAUUAUUGGGCGUAAAGGGUGCGUAGGCGGUCUGCUAAGUCCAUGGUGAAAGCGUGGGGCUCAACCCCAUAAAGCCAUGGAUACUGACAGACUAGAGUACUGGAGAGGGUAGUGGAAUUCCAUGUGUAGCGGUAAAAUGCGUAGAUAUAUGGAGGAACACCGGUGGCGAAGGCGGCUACCUAGACAGAGACUGACGCUGAGGCA
rnacentral:rRNA from 1 species